GACAGCAGGCAGAGGAGCAUUUAGCAGUUUAUACCGUGUCCGAUUCAGAUUCCGGCAAGGAUCCAAGCAUGGAAUGCUGCCGUUGGGCAACUGCUGGCACUCUGCUCCUGCUCCUGGCUUCCCUGCUCCUGAAUCUUGGACAUUCUUUUCUCUCUCCCUUACUUGAUUACAGUGGAAGAUUUGACUGAGUAAAGAUGGCAGGAAUUUAAAUUUUGAUUUGGACUUAUAUAAAGGAGAAGCAUUGAGAUAUAUCAACAUACAUGUUGGUGUCAGAGCCUGCCAUCCAUUCUAUUUAUAUGGUGCCUGAUGCAGAAUCUAUUGAAAUCAGUGGAAAGACCCAUGCUGACCUUAGCAGGUUUGGGGUCAGGCCCAUAAACACUGGACUGGAUGCUGUUCUUGUUUAAAACUCACCAACCCCAUUAAAUAUUGAGCUAUAGAGCUGGAAUUAUAUUCAGAGUUUGAACCUGUAAGUACAAAGUACUGGCUCAGUCCUGCAAACAUAACAGUAGAAGCAUUCCCUGCUCUGAUUGAGAUCAGGUAUUUGGGGAAUAUUGCUCAUUGCCCUAUGAACUUUUGCAUCCUAAGGAAAUAUUAACACACCACUUUUAAAAGAAACAAAAGAAAGCAGGCAUUCUAUUCCAAAGAUUUCCCUAUUUCAUUAAAAAAUAAAAAGCAACCCAAGCAGAAAUGUGACUGAAACCAUGACCAGCCAUUGACAUGUGUGUUCAUCCAAACUUGAAGUCAAACCACUUCUUGUCAAAAAGGCAUUUAAUCAAAUUUGCAAUUGCUGUUUGCCUGCUUUCAGUGGUCUUUAGCUCCUUUGCCUGCUAUUGUGGUAGCUGCAAAAGUAACACUAGGAAUUAUAAUAAAGUACAUGUGUUUUUCUGCCGAAUUUCUUUUUUUCUCUGCUCUAAUUUAUACAUGGAAACUAGUCAAACACAAUAUCCCAUUCCUUUCAGGCUCUCUGGCACUUUACUCCUCUAUUACUAAGCGGAUCUGUCUUGGAUGAGCAUAAGCAUAAUUAGCUUGUAGAACAAAUGUUAAAUUCCUUGUUUACAUCAAAUGUAAGAAGGUUAACUCAGCCAUUUCCCUUCACAUAUAGAUCUGUUUGUCUAUCACUGUAUGUCUGACCAUCUGUUUCUACAUUUAUAGCUGUAUAGGGAUGGAUUUUCCAGUGAGGGCUCCAAAAUUACACACGUGCAUUUUCCAUGUGGCUUAAUUUGCAUGUGCUAAGUGGCCUUCAGUCAUGCCAUCUGGGUAGAUGUGCACUGUUUGCAUGUACAAGUUCAAGAUUUAUUUGUAAAAAAAAAAAAAAAAAGGGUGCAUGUUCAACAUUUUGCACAGUUUUGGCAUCUGACUUGAAAAUCUGGCUAGCACUGUCGU